rnacentral:lncRNA from 1 species
UAUAAAUAAAAAUUAUACAUCAAAAUAUGUAAAAUAUGGGCGCAAAUAAUUAUACAUUUACUUUUUUAAAUAUUUUUUACUCACAAAAAAGUAAAUACGUUCAUAUAUAACAAGAAAAAGAGAGCGAAAAAAAGGCAAACAAGAGUGACGAAGCGAAAGCAAAAGUAACAAAGCAUAAACAAAAACAAAAGCGAAAGCGAAAAUAACAAAACAUAAACACAAACAAAAGCGAAAGCAAAAGCAAAAGCAUCUUUGAGCGCCCCCUAUGUAAUAAAUUAAACAUUAAAAAUAAACAUUUUAUAAAAAAAAAAAAAAAAAAAAACAUCCUAAAUGAAAAUUAGUUUAUCUUUAAAUAAAAAAAAAGGAAAGGAUAAAAAUAAAGAAUGCAACAUCCCUUCAAGCAAUGCAAGAAAUAAAGUAGAAUCAGCAUUUAGCUCUUCUGAAGAUGAAGAAAACUUUUUAGAAAACAAUAAGAACAAAGAAAUAGAGAUAGAACACAAUGAAAAUAUAGAAAAACAAUUAAAAGAAUUUAUCAAUGAGCAUUCCAAUCCGAUAAUGGAAAAAAAAAACGAAGAAGAAAACAGAGAAGAGAAUUUAGAAAAUGAAAACAAAAAAAACAGGAUCCAAUAUCUAGGCUUCAAAAGUGAUGAAUUAACAAAUAUGUAUAAUGAGAAAUUCAAAGAUAAAGAAACUAAAAGCACAUAUGGUAAAAGCGAGAAAAAAAAUGAAGAAAAAAAAAUUGAUUUUAAAAAGGGAGAAAGUGGCAAACACAAACUAAAGGAACAAGAAGCUUAUAAUACAAUUUCUUACUCAAAAGGGAAAAUGUAUGAAGAAGAUAAUUAUAAUAAAACAAAAAGCCAUAAACGGAAUAAUAAAACAAGAGAGGAAGAUUUAUGUAUUGAUGAUAUUUUUAAAAAAACAGAAUAUACAGAAAACACAAAGUCCAAAUAUAUGAAUGCUUUAAUUAAUAGUGCUAAAAGAAGAGAAUUGGAAAGGGAAUUAUUAAUUCAAAAGAAAUUAAAAAUAGAUAAAGAAAAAGCUGAAAAGGUGUUUGUUACGAAAGCAUAUAAAAAAAAAAUGAUGGAAAAACAAUUAAUUAAGAAUGAAAUAGAAGAAGAAGAAGAAACAGAAGAAAAAAAAAAUUCAAAUAAACAAACAAAUUUUAAUUUACAUAUGUUCUUAAAAAAUAUAAAUACUGCUUCAAAUUAUGAUAGAUAUAAUAGAGCACGUUACUACGACAAUUCUAACAAUAUAGACGAUAUUGAGUGAGUUAAAAAAAAAAAAAAGAAUGUAGCGAACUGUUUGUAUUUAUAUACAUGUGUACAUGUAUAUAGUUUUUUUUUUUUUUUGUAUUUUAUUUUUAAAAUAGAAGAUGAAAACAAAUGGGGGGAAGCAUAAUGAG